rnacentral:rRNA from 1 species
GAUGAACGCUAGCGGCAGGCUUAAUACAUGCAAGUCGAGGGGCAGCACGGUUAGCAAUAACUGGUGGCGACCGGCGCACGGGUGCGUAACACGUAUACAAUCUACCUUAAACAGGGGGAUAGCCUUUCGAAAGAGAGAUUAAUACCCCGUAAUAAAUUGAACGGCAUCGUUUGAUUUUGAAAGCUCCGGCGGUUUGAGAUGAGUAUGCGUCUGAUUAGCUAGUUGGUGAGGUAACGGCUCACCAAGGCGACGAUCAGUAGGGGAUCUGAGAGGACUAACCCCCACACUGGUACUGAGACACGGACCAGACUCCUACGGGAGCAGCAGUAAGGAAUAUUGGUCAAUGGAGGCAACUCUGAACCAGCCAUGCCGCGUGCAGGAUGACGGCCCUAUGGGUUGUAAACUGCUUUUAUACAAGAGGAAACCCUGGUACGUGUACCAGGUUGAUAGUAUUGUAAGAAUAAGCGUCGGCUAACUUCGUGCCAGCAGCCGCGGUAAU